CCUGAUCCAGCAAUGCCGCGUGUGUGAAGAAGGCCUUCGGGUUGUAAAGCACUUUUAUCAGGAGCGAAAUACUGCCGGCUAAUACCCGGCGGGGCUGACGGUACCUGAGGAAUAAGCACCGGCUAACUUCGUGCCAGCAGCCGCGGUAAUACGAAGGGUGCAAGCGUUAAUCGGAAUUACUGGGCGUAAAGCGUGCGUAGGCGGUUCUUUAAGUCUGCUGUGAAAUCCCCGGGCUCAACCUGGGAAUGGCAGUGGAUACUGGAGAGCUAGAGUGUGAUAGAAGAUGGUGGAAUUCCCGGUGUAGCGGUGAAAUGCGUAGAGAUCGGGAGGAACAUCAGUGGCGAAGGCGGCCAUCUGGAUCCACACUGACGCUGAGGCACGAAAGCGUGGGGAGCAAACAGGAUUAGAUACCCUGGUAGUCCACGCCCUAAACGAUGCGAACUGGAUGUUGGUCUCAACUCGGAGAUCAGUGUCGAAGCUAACGCGUUAAGUUCGCCGCCUGGGGAGUACGGUCGCAAGACUGAAACUCAAAGGAAUUGACGGGAGCCCGCACAAGCGGUGGAGUAUGUGGUUUAAUUCGAUGCAACGCGAAGAACCUUACCUGGCCUUGACAUGUCUGGAAUCCUGC
rnacentral:rRNA from 1 species